GGAUAGAGCUAGCGAAGUCGUUCGUAUUCAGCCGAAGGCCGGCGGUAUCGGCGUGCCGGGUUGCUAAUCAGCCUGGUCAUGCCUUUUGCUGCUGGUUGAGGUGUAUUUGCGGACGUUUGCGCUGAGACUUGCGGGCCAGCUUCUGGACCCGGGCCUAGAGGCCGUCCUUUGGGCGGAACUUGGGCACGGCGACGGUUGUUUGCGUUCUGCUCGUACCGCGGUCUGGCCUACGGGUUGGGGCGUAGCCGUUGUUGCCUAUAGGUGGCAUCGCUUGCGAUGUCUCUCUUGGCGGCCGCGGUUGCGUUCCGGCUCACGGACCGCUUCUCGGUGUAAAAGCUGGUCACUUAUCCGACCCGUCUUGAAACACGGACCAAGGAGUUUAGCGUAUACGCGAGCCAUUGGGUGUCAAAACCUACAGGCGCAAUGAAAGUGAAGGCCCAGUCGCUGGGUUGACAUGCGAGUUGGUGGCCCUCGGGCCGCCGAUGCAGCAUGGUCCCGUUCCGGUGGCUUGCCACGGAGCGGAGACAGAGCGUAUGCGCUGAG
rnacentral:rRNA from 1 species